GUUAAACACGCCAGCGCCCAUGGUACUGUGUCUCAAGACACGGGAGAGUCGGUCGCCGCCAGAC
rnacentral:rRNA from 1 species